CUGAUCGGGUGUAGGCAAUCAGCAAUUAAGCCCAGGCAAAAAUUGAAUAGCCUUGCACUGCCACUGCAGGCAGAGUAGAGAUUGUGGAGGGAUAAACUCUACCAAUUUGAAACGAAAUCUUUCUAACAUUCUUCAUAGUGAGUCUUGGAGUUGGGACCAAAUCCUAAAUAAACCAGUGGAGCAGCUUUUACCUGUGAGCCAUUUACAGCAAGCAGUUAUAUAAAUUGUGUGAUCAGAGGGUUAAGUCUCCCUGCAGAUGCAGAAUGCCCUACAGUUUGUUGUGAGAACACUACGCACCAACUGCUGGCUAUGAAUGCAUUCUCCAAGCUGACUCUGAAAUGGCAUAAUAAGAGCAACAGUUCUUUGCAGUCCAAGGCGGUCCAGGCACUGGGUGUUAGAUGGCUGAUCGAGGAGGAGGAGGAGGAGGAGGAGAAGGAGAAGGAGAGAGAUCCAAAUGGAGAUGAGGCAGGGACCACUGCGGCUGUCUGGAGAGAUGGAAAGAGAGGGAGAGAGCGAGGAGGAAAAGCAGAGUGAAAACACCAUAAAUGUUGCAGAUGCAGCCGGUUAUCCUGCAUAUCAAGCAUGGUCUCAGCAGCUGACUCUUCAGUUUUCUUCUCCAUCCACGAACACCGAGUGAAUAUAAAUGGAUCUGAACUUUAGCUGCCUUUCAACAUCACAUUCUGACAUAUUGCAGGACCUCCAAUGGCACCUCAUCCGCUAAAGAAACAGUGUAUAAACAAUGAAAUUAAAUCAAACUGCAAUGAAAAUAUGUGCAUGACAUAUGCAUGACAUAUGGGAGUGUUAUUAAAUAAAGCAUAUUGUCU
rnacentral:lncRNA from 1 species